GUCGAGAAUCUUUCACAAUGGGGGCAACCCUGAUGGAGCGACGCCGCGUGGAGGAUAAGGUCUUCGGAUUGUAAACUCCUGUCAUGCGUGAACAAGGUUGCUUGGAUAAUACCUGAGCAAAUUGAUGGUAGCGCAAGAGGAAGAGACGGCUAACUCUGUGCCAGCAGCCGCGGUAAUACAGAGAUCUCAAGCGUUGUUCGGAAUCACUGGGCGUAAAGGGUGCGUAGGUGGCGUGGCAAGUCAGAUGUGAAAGCCCGGGGCUCAACCUCGGAACUGCAUCCGAUACUGCCAUGCUAGAGUACUGGAGGGGUGACUAGAAUUCUCGGUGUAGCAGUGAAAUGCGUAGAUAUCGAGAGGAAUACCAAAGGCGUAGGCAGGUCACUGGACAGUUACUGACACUGAGGCACGAAGGCCAGGGGAGCGAACGGGAUUAGAAACCCUAGUAGUCC
rnacentral:rRNA from 1 species